rnacentral:rRNA from 1 species
GAUGAACGCUGGCGGCGUGCCUAAUACAUGCAAGUCGAGCGAACAGACGAGGAUCUUGCUCCUCUGAGGUUAGCGACGGACGGGUGAGUAACACGGGGAGAACCUACCUAUAAGACUGGGAUAACUUCUAGAAACCGGAGCUAAGACCGGAUAAUAUAUUCAACCGCAUGGUUCAAUAGUGAAAGACGAGUUUGCUGGCACGUAUAGAUGUAUCCGCGCCGCAUAAGAGAGGUGGGAAGGUAACGGCUUACUAAUGCAACGAGACGUAGCCGACCUGAGAGGGGGUUCGGCCCCAGUGGAAGUGAGACACGGUCCAGACUCCGACGGGAGGCAGCAGUAGGGAAUUUUCCGAGAUGGGCGAAAGCAUGACGGAGCAACGCGGGGUGGGUGAUGAAGGUCUUCGGAUGGGAAAACUGUGGUAUUAGGGAAGAAGAACUGUGUAAGUCACUAUGCAAGUAUUGACGGUACCUAAGCAGAAAGCAACGGCUAACUCUGUG